ACUUCUAUGAUGGAACUGGUAGACAUGCUAGACUUAAAAUCUAGUCCUUCGGGGUCCCGGUUCGAUUCCGGGUAGAAGUA
rnacentral:tRNA from 1 species